GGGCGGUCUUUCUUCGAGGAUAUUCAAUGAGGAUAUUUAAAUCCCCCACUCAAUAUAUUGCCAGUAAUGGCCUCCUCACUCCAUGAGAGUGAUUAAUGGCUGGAUUAUCUCGUCUAUAAUGGCAUGUGCAAUGGCCCUGCAAUCUCGAGAUCACAGGAUCAUACAGCUGUUUGACAGCCUUCUAUAUAAGUAACCAAAGCCCC
rnacentral:lncRNA from 1 species